rnacentral:rRNA from 1 species
UACGGGGGGGGCAAGCGUUGUUCGGAAUUACUGGGCGUAAAGGGUUCGUAGGUGGCCAACUAAGUCAUACGUGAAAUCCCUCAGCUUAACCGGGGAACUGCGUCCGAUACUGGAUGGCUUGAGUUUGGGAGAGGGAUGCGGAAUUCCAGGUGUAGCGGUGAAAUGCGUAGAUAUCUGGAGGAACACCGGUGGCGAAGGCGGCAUCCUGGACCAACACUGACGCUGAUGAGCGAAAGCCAGGGGAGCAAACGGG